ACUGCUCAGUAACACGUAGUGAAUCCACCCCGCGGACGGGUAUAACCCCGGGAAACUGGGGACAAUCCCCGAUAGUCGAGGCUUUCUGGAAACGGGGCCUCGUUCAAAUGGUCCGCCGCCGCGGGACGACACUGCGGCCGAUUACGCUUGAUGGCGGGGUAACGGCCCACCAUGGCUUUGAUCGGUACCGGCUGUGAGAGCAGGAGCCGGGAGAAAUGGACUGAGACACGGCCAUUAGCCUUACGAGGUGCAGCAGGCGAGAAAACUCUGCAAUGCGCGAAAGCGUGACAGGGCCAAUCGAAGUGUCCACCCUAAGAGGGUCGACUGUGGCGAGAUAUAGACAGUCUCGCAAGAAAGGAGAGGGCAAGGCUGGUGCCAGCCGCCGCGGUAAAACCAGCUCUUCAAGUGAUCGGGACCAUUAUUGAGCUUAAAGCACUCGUAGCGGGCCUUGAAAGUCCCGGGUUAAACCCAAGAGCUUAACUCUUGGGCUGCUCGGGGUACUCCAAGGCUUGGGAACGGGAGACGUUGCGGGUACUAUGGGGGUAGCGGUGAAAUGCGAUAAUCCUCAUGGGACCAUCGGUGGCGAAGGCGCGCAACGAGAACGUGUCUGACCGUGAUGGGUGAAAGCCAGGGGAGCAAACCGGAUUAGAUACCCGGGUAGUCCUGGCCGUAAACGAUGCCCGUUAGGUGUGACGGCAGCCAAGAGCCGCCGUUGUGCCGAAGCGAAAGCGUUAAACGGGCCGCUUGGGAAGUACGACCGCAAGGUUGAAACUUAAAGGAAUUGACGGGAGAAUACCACAAGGGGUGAAGCCUGCGGUUUAAUUGGAUUCAACGCCGGA
rnacentral:rRNA from 1 species